rnacentral:rRNA from 1 species
UACGAAGGGGGCUAGCGUUGCUCGGAAUCACUGGGCGUAAAGGGCGCGUAGGCGGCCUGCUAAGUCGAACGUGAAAUCCCUGGGCUCAACCCAGGAACUGCGUCCGAUACUGGUUGGCUUGAAUCCGGGAGAGGGACGUGGAAUUCCAGGUGUAGCGGUGAAAUGCGUAGAUAUCUGGAGGAACACCGGUGGCCGAAGGCGGCAUCCUGGACCAAUAC